AAUUACUAUCAAUUACCUCCUCCCUCAGGCUACUGGAGUGGGCUAAUUCCCCCACCCAUGUAGCUGGCAAUACCCUCGACCUUAUUUUAUCUUAUGCAUGUACAGUAUCUAAUAUCUGCAACACUCCAUUUCCUCUCUCUGAUCACCACCUCUUAUUGCUUGUUCUCGAUUACCCCCUCACCCAACAACCUCAGCCUAACCCCCCUCAACUCAGGAGGAACCUUAAUUCUAUUGACCUCCAG